rnacentral:miRNA from 1 species
AGACACACCAAAACUUCAAUGAUG